rnacentral:lncRNA from 1 species
GUCUCAGUGCUUGUCUCCGCCAGCAGCCGUGCCUGGCGGGCCUUAGUAGUCGGUGAGGGGGUACCGCAGGAAGAUGAAGACGAGGAUGAUGCAGGAGGCUGCCAGGGCAGAACUGGUGAUGUUGAACAGCCGGGCCGUCUUUGCAUCCUCCACGGCUCCAUUCAGGUCAUUGAGAAGCUUCUUGUCUCGCACUUUGAGGGAGUAGGCCAAGGCGAUGAAGCCCAGGCAGCAGAAGUUGAGGUAGACGAAGUUGAAGAUGGACCACAGGUAAUAGUCGUUCACCUCGGUGGUG